rnacentral:rRNA from 1 species
AUUGAACGCUGGCGGCAUGCCUUACACAUGCAAGUCGAACGGCAGCGGGGACUUCGGUCCGCCGGCGAGUGGCGAACGGGUGAGUAAUGUAUCGGAACGUACCUUUCAGUGGGGAUAACGUAGCGAAAGUUACGCUAAUACCGCAUAUUCUGUGAGCAGGAAAGCAGGGGAUCGCAAGACCUUGCGCUGAUUGAGCGGCCGAUAUCAGAUUAGCUAGUUGGUGAGGUAAAGGCUCACCAAGGCGACGAUCUGUAGCGGGUCUGAGAGGAUGAUCCGCCACACUGGAACUGAGACACGGUCCAGACUCCUACGGGAGGCAGCAGUGGGGAAUUUUGGACAAUGGGGGCAACCCUGAUCCAGCCAUGCCGCGUGUGUGAAGAAGGCCUUCGGGUUGUAAAGCACUUUCAGUAGGGAGGAAGCGUUGUGUGUUAAUAGUACACAGCGUUGACGUUACCUACAGAAGAAGCACCGGCUAACUCUGUGCCAGCCGCCGCCGUAAGAC